CAAUAGCGUAUAUUAAAGCUGUUGCGGUUAAAAAGCUCGUAGUUGGAUUUCUGUCAAGGACAACUGGUCCGCCCUCCGGGUGAGCACAUAGUUUGGUCUUGACAUCUUGCUGGAAGCUGUUGCUGCACUUGGCUGUGUGGCGCAGUGUUCAGCACUUUCACUUUGAGGAAAUUGGAGUGUUUCAAGCAGGCACAUGCCUUUGGACACAGUAGCAUGGAAUAAUUAGAUUGGGCUUUUGCUCCAAUUUGUCGGUUUCUGGAGCUGAGGUGAGUAUUAAUGGGGAUUGUUGGGGGCAUCCGAAUUUAGCCGUCAGAGGUGAAAUUCUUGGAUCUGCUAAAGACGGACAACUGCGAAAGCGUUUGCCCAGGAUGUUUUNAUUGA
rnacentral:rRNA from 1 species